GAAAUGCGAUAAGUAAUGUGAAUUGCAGAAUUCCGUGAAUCAUCGAAUCUUUGAACGCACAUUGCGCCCUCUGGCAUUCCGGGGGGCAUGCCUGUCCGAGCGUCAUUACGCACCCUCAAGCCCGGCUUGUGUGAUGGGCCCUGGCGUCUCGUUCGCGAGACGGGCCCGAAAGGCAGCGGCGGCGUCGACCCGAUGAGCCCGAGCGUAUGGGGACUGUUGUCACACGUUUGCGGUGCGGACCGGCGCCUGCUUGACUUUUCUGAUUAUCCAGGUUGACCUCGGAUCAGGUAGGGAUACCCGCUGAACUUAAGC
rnacentral:misc_RNA from 1 species